UGCAAGUCGAGCGGACAGGUGGGAGCUUGCUCCCUGAUGUUAGCGGCGGACGGGUGAGUAACACGUGGGUAACCUGCCUGUAAGACUGGGAUAACUCCGGGAAACCGGGGCUAAUACCGGAUGGUUGUUUGAACCGCAUGGUUCAAACAUAAAAGGUGGCUUCGGCUACCACUUACAGAUGGACCCGCGGCGCAUUAGCUAGUUGGUGAGGUAACGGCUCACCAAGGCAACGAUGCGUAGCCGACCUGAGAGGGUGAUCGGCCACACUGGGACUGAGACACGGCCCAGACUCCUACGGGAGGCAGCAGUAGGGAAUCUUCCGCAAUGGACGAAAGUCUGACGGAGCAACGCCGCGUGAGUGAUGAAGGUUUUCGGAUCGUAAAGCUCUGUUGUUAGGGAAGAACAAGUACCGUUCGAACAGGGCGGUACCUUGACGGUACCUAACCAGAAAGCCACGGCUAACUACGUGCCAGCAGCCGCGGUAAUACGUAGGUGGCAAGCGUUUUCCGGAAUUAUUGGGCGUAAAGGGCUCGCAGGCGGUUUCUUAAGUCUGAUGUGAAAGCCCCCGGCUCAACCGGGGAGGGUCAUUGGAAACUGGGGAACUUGAGUGCAGAAGAGGAGAGUGGAAUUCCACGUGUAGCGGUGAAAUGCGUAGAGAUGUGGAGGAACACCAGUGGCGAAGGCGACUCUCUGGUCUGUAACUGACGCUGAGGAGCGAAAGCGUGGGGAGCGACAGGAUUAGA
rnacentral:rRNA from 2 species